AACGAACGCUGGCGGCAUGCCUAACACAUGCAAGUCGAACGAGACCUUCGGGUCUAGUGGCGCACGGGUGCGUAACGCGUGGGAACCUGCCCUUAGGUUCGGAAUAACUCCCCGAAAGGGGUGCUAAUACCGGAUAAUGUCUUCGGACCAAAGAUUUAUCGCCUUUGGAUGGGCCCGCGUUGGAUUAGCUAGUUGGUAGGGUAAAAGCCUACCAAGGCGACGAUCCAUAGCUGGUAUGAGAGGAUGAUCAGCCACACUGGGACUGAGACACGGCCCAGACUCCUACGGGAAGCAGCAGUGGGGAAUAUUGGACAAUGGGCGAAAGCCUGAUCCAGCAAUGCCGCGUGAGUGAUGAAGGCCUUAGGGUUGUAAAGCUCUUUUACCCGGGAUGAUAAUGACUGUACCGGGAGAAUAAGCUCCGGCUAACUCCGUG
rnacentral:rRNA from 1 species